GUUCCUUUUCUUGGACGAGCUAUCUUUAGGCAGAUAAUGCAACUUCAGAGAAAGCUUGUUCCUGUGCUGCUUCAGGGGAAAAAGACAGGGGAAGUUAGAAGGGUAGAAGGGCAGAGAGACCUCAGAUCUGAGCCACCUCUGAAACCUUCCAACCAGUGGAGCGGGCAUGACAAAGCACUGUACUCUGGGCAGCCUUCUAUGGUAUACACCAGCUACACCACAACUGCAGCGUCAUCGACAGCCUGGCUGGUGAAAUAGCAAUGACACAGUUUCAGAGACAGUGUUCUAGAUAUGGCCCUGAACUAAGUAAGCUGUGGGGGAUAAAGUCUUUCAUUAGACUCCUGAGGCGUAGCCCAUUGGCAGCAAUCAAUUUCAUCUAUAUAGUCUCCCCAUGAUAAGCCUCCCGCAGUGCCCCAAGGUGAGCAGUACGGAGAUGAGAUGAACAGAUGACCUCUCCUCUCUCCAGAGAAUGUACCAGUUCUACUUGAAUUGUUACAGGAAUUCAAGUUUUGGUCAGAUUUCUAUGGGAUCCUACACCUUUCCUGUGAAUAGCUGCAGCUCCAGAUGAGGGUUCAACUGGCAGCAGAGAUGACAGGUGAAGCAGAGAAGCAUGCGUGCCCUCCAUCCAAAGCAUCCAGGGUGCAUCCACAGCAAGUGUAAGCGCUGGCUUCAAUCCCCAACAACCUCAUACACAGAAGGCGACAUUUCUUAAAAAUCAUAGAACGUGAUUACCUACACAUUGGAAUAUUUUUGUAGAUUAGUUUCACCUCUGAAGGAUAAGCUUCCUGGGCUGCACAUUCUGAGAAGUAAUGAUUUUGUUUAAUGAGUGCCAUGAAUAAUAUUUAAGGCAUUUCUGAAGACUCAUUUUUCAACUUAUAUGUUGCUUUUAUGCCUGAAUAAAACUUUUCCAAAUGUG